ensembl:rRNA 5S_rRNA 5S ribosomal RNA
GACAUUUGGUAGAGACUGUUGAAGCCACCUGGUCCCAGCAGACCCCAGAGAAGGGCCACAUUCACUGGUGCUGGUACAGGGUCGUUAAGGGUGAAGCCUGGUGCCAGAUGUGU